UACGUAGGUGGCAAGCGUUGUCCGGAAUUAUUGGGCGUAAAGCGCGCGCAGGCGGAUUGGUCAGUCUGUCUUAAAAGUUCGGGGCUUAACCCCGUGAUGGGAUGGAAACUGCCAAUCUAGAGUAUCGGAGAGGAAAGUGGAAUUCCUAGUGUAGCGGUGAAAUGCGUAGAUGUUAGGAAGAACACCAGUGGCGAAGGCGACUUUCUGGACGAAAACUGACGCUGAGGCGCGAAAGCCAGGGGAGCGAACGGG
rnacentral:rRNA from 1 species